UCGGACGUGGUGCACGGCGCACCCCCGCUCUUCUUAUAUGGGGCCAAAUAGAUGAAAGUGGGAGGCUUGGGUUCGACUCCCGGCGUCCGAA